CCAAGGGUUCUUCUUGGAACCACCAAUGCUCCACGGAACAGAGUCU
rfam:Myotis lucifugus cont2.18190, whole genome shotgun sequence.